UUUAAAAAAAAAAAAAAAAAGGCCACUGGGAUAUUUAGUAUUUGUCCAGAUGCAAAACAAUUUCAGAAUAACAAAAUACACACCUUGCUUUAGGCCACGUAUAUGAUACACUUCAUAGAUUCUCAAACAAAAGAUGAAAAUUUCAGUCCACAUUAAACAUUUUAAAGCAUAACUUCUAAUAUUUUGUUAAAAAUAAGUCAAACUAAACGCAUAAAUCAGAAUUACCUGUUAACAUAGUGGGGAAAGUAGGGAAGCCCUCCAGGGGCCCCGUGCCCCAAGUAAAAGACAAGGAGUUAAAUUUUACAAUGAAAUCCACGUAUACUCAGGCUCUUUACACUAAUAAUCAAAGUGGAGACCAACCAGUUCCUAAAGCAUAAAAGAGUGAUUUUAAGAAAAUAUCACAUUUUGAGUUACGGUAUAUUCAUCACAUUUUUCCCUGUAAUUUUCACUUUAACAGUGAUAGUCUUAGCAGCAAAAAUUUGCUGGGAAUGUUAGGAAAAAAGGAAGCCACACAUACCUACUAAUUUAAAAAUAUAUAAACUAUUUUUUACAGAAGGGCAGGUUUAAAAGAAAAUCCAAUCAUGAUCUUUUCAUGCCAUUUUUUGUCAACUUUCCAUACACACGCAGACGCUAACAAAGUACUGUGUCAUAUACACUGAAGUGUCCUGAAGAUGCCUGUGAGCUGCUGAUUCCAGCUGGUACCAGGGAAGCAUGUGUGGCUAAGUUGCAACAAACUUAAAUUUGUUCCCCUUAGUUCUUCAUCUUUUUAAAAGCUGAAUAAACUUAAUGUCAAUCGGGUGGGGCCGGUAUUAACAGCAUCAACCGCUUGCUUACUAUGAAUCAUCCGCAACAGAAACCCACGUGCAUUCUCCAUUCUUAAAAAGUCAGUGUAAAACUAACGGCCACUUCCUCCCUAGGUGCCUACUAUCGCUAUGUCUGACAGCAUCUGUAACAGGACAAGCUCACCUCUCUCUACACGGAUUCAUCCAAAGCCACACACUAGGCCAAAUUCUCCCAGUGGAAUCAAAACACUGGAAGUAGAGCAAGAACCUCAUGCCAACAUUGGCCCAAUCACACCUCAGUGACUUAGGAGUUCAUCAUAUUUGAUCAUAAAAUUGCUCCCGGCGCCAAACCUUACACCUAAAGACUGUAGUUUUAAAAAGCCACUGUACCGUCCACAAUUAUUCUGACCACUCUUUUCUAAAUGGAGAAUGUGCUACGCACUGAAGAUCAGAACACACACGCGGGAGCCCUUGGGCACUGACCCUGAGCCUGUACACAAGAUCAGCUGGUACUAGUCUCAAAUGAUUCAUGAGGACUCAGUGGAAAUUUAAACAUUCAAUUCUGUGUAUCAUUCAUGUGCCCAGAGUCUUCAAAGAAUGCUCGUGUUAGUUACCUGACACCUCUGGAGAAGUGACAGGGAUAUUCGUGUGAAUAACCAUGGCUCCCUUCCAGACAGACAUAUGGAAUCUUACUCUUAAAAAAGUAAAGAUAUUUCAGAUAUCAAAUGUAUUAUAAUAUACUGCGGUCUAAAGUUAAAGGCAAAGUUUACACACGAUUUUCUCUUCCAUGACUUUAUUACAUGUUUCCUAGUGAAUUCACACGGCUCGUGUGUCAAAGCUCCCAGGCACGUCACUUGGUCACAGUUUUCAUGUGCGUGGGGUUGAUCAUGGUACAAAUGCCUAUGCGCAUCUUUUUCUCGGAUGGUCUCAUUUGACUUUCAUUUCGUAAGGGUUCACUCUCCAUGGUGUAGAUGAUAAGCUACCACAUUUGUGCUUUUAAACCCAUUCCUGGCAAUCCCCCUUUAUCUUCAUUUUGUCUUUAGGGGGAUAAAGAAGUAACACUACCUCAUGAAUAGAAACUAUGAAGCCAAAAAACUCCUUCACAAGCUGUUCAUUUCUUUUUAGAAUGAAAAUGCAGGUCCUGAAUUCUCGUGAAGCAGCCCACAGGGUUACAGGCCAAUGAUUCGAACGCUGAGGUGAACACUUAGUACUCGCAUUUGAGCUUCAAAGUAAAAAUAAAGCAGAGGACAAACGCCUGUCACAGCGUGGCAGCCCGGUUCAUUUGGUAACAGAACAAGUCUCACACGUCGGCUGAGCCCACCGGAGAGAAGCACACAGGCCAGCUUCCUUCUGAACACAGCCAGGCACCUGUUCAAAAGCCUCUCUCGUGGUGGCGGUGGACCCCAAAACCCACGGGUUGGAAGAGCCUUUGGGAAAGCAAAUUGAUACCCUGAUUGCAGUCCUUGAAGAAAUCACUUAGGGUUAGUUUAAUAAACGAACAUUAAAAAAUCUUCCAAAAAUUGCAUUCAAAUGUAUUUUACACUUUAGGCAGUUCUUAAGAAGGGAGAGUGCAGUUUCUUGACACUUAACAUUUAAAGGUUUUAUUGGCCACAUUAAUCUUCCUCACAAAAGUUUUAAGUUAUCUAUAAGUUCUUAGAAUGUCAAAGAAGAGAAGAAAAACUGACUAACUUUAAGGGGCGGUGGAAGCAGCAGCAACUUGGCAAUAAUUCUGCAGCCGACUUUGCGUGUUCAGGCAUCCUUUUUCUCCAGUAAAAUUUUGUGCAACUCGUCUGCAUCCUCGCUGGUUUUUACCCGAAUCAACAUGGUGACUGGCAUGGUGGCAUUCUUCUCGUCAAUUGGUGGAUUUGGAACACAGACGAUAAGAACGUUAUUCUUCCCUGUUCGCGUACAUGGCAUAUUGGGUGGAAUCAGAACGUUCAGCAAUAUGUUGCCUGCAUUCAAACAAACAAAACCCAUCAAAAUUAUAGAAGCUAUAGCUCCACCAAAGGAGUCUGUAAUAUGCUAAACAUUAAAUGCUGAAAUAACUUAAUACAUCUAAGACAGGGAGCCAACAGGACAGCACAAAAUCAGGACUGGUUCCCUGAGAACUGGGAGGCCUCGGGGAGCACUUGCCCUCACUGUGAGGAGUGGCCUUCCGUCCUCCCUCCAGCCCGGGUCUCUGCACCCACACAGCGUUUCUCUCAGAGCCAGCAGCCUCGCUCAGAACCGUCAGCCCUCUCAACACUGUCCGUCUUUGCACUGAAGGAAGAACACGGUGGCACAACCCAGUGUCUUCACUGCGCCACACGGACAAAGGACACCUCUGUCACAGGCCGGCACAGCUCCCUGGGCAAAAGUGACACGACCAUGUUAUUACUCCCUAGUCAAGCCCACGGGAAAGAAAAAUGCCUCCCUGGAGUUUCUGCAACACAGCCCCCUGUUCUCUACCACUACUGCCCGCUCCACCGCAGGCCUGCCCCGUCUUCCUCCUCCUCCGGGCACUAGGAUCCUUGCAGUGGACUCUUUUCAGGUUAAAACUGAGGAUGGACAGCAAGCAGUUAGUCAUUACUUGCUAUAUAAAAAGGAUUCCUUUAAAAGGUUAAUUUCCCUUGGGUGUUCAUUAAAUGGUCUAAUCUCUAGCUUCUUAGUCACAUUUCUAACACAAAGGAAAAUGAAAAAUCAUUUUGUUUACAGCUUCUAACACAUUUAUGUUUCCUUACACACUAUUAUCCUGGGACUCAAAACUAUAAAUAAGUAAAUACAGGAUGAAUUUGGCCUGAAUGCGCU
rnacentral:lncRNA from 1 species